CUGCUGCCUUCCGUAGGAGUCUGGGCCGUGUCUCAGUCCCAAUGUGGCCGUCCGCCCUCUCAGGCCGGCUACUGAUCGUCGCCUUGGUGGGCCGUUACCCCGCCAACUGGCUAAUCAGACGCGGAUCCAUCGUAUACCGCCGGAGCUUUUCACACUGUCCCAUGCGGGACCGUGCGCUUAUGCGGUAUUAGCACCUGUUUCCAGGUGUUAUCCCCCUGUAUACGGCAGGUUAUCCACGCGUUACUCACCCGUCCGCCAA
rnacentral:rRNA from 1 species